AACAAACGCUGGCGGCGUGCCUAAUACAUGCAAGUCGAACGGGGUAGCAAUACCUAGUGGCGCACGGGUGAGGAACGCGUGGAUAAUCUGCCUUAGAGUGGGGGAUAACUAGUCGAAAGAUUAGCUAAUACCGCAUAAGACCACCGGAGCUGCGGCUCUAGGGGUCAAAGGUUUUUCGCUCUAAUAUGAGUCCGCGUAAGAGUAGCUAGUGGGUGAGGUAACGGCUUACCAAGGCGACGAUCUUUAACUGGUCUGAGAGGAUGAUCAGUCAAACUGGAACUGAGACACGGUCCAGACUCCUACGGGAGGCAGCAGUAGGGAAUAUUGCACAAUGGAGGAAACUCUGAUGCAGCGACGCCGCGUGAGUGAUGAAGGCCUUCGGGUCGUAAAGCUCUGUCGCAGGGGAAUAACACAAUGAAUGUACCCUGUAAGGAAGGAUCGGCUAACUUCGUGCCAGCCGCCGCCGUAACAC
rnacentral:rRNA from 1 species